rnacentral:rRNA from 1 species
GGGUGCGAUCAUACCAGUGUUAAUGCACCGGAUCCCAUCAGAACUUCGCAGUUAAGCGCGCUUGGGCUAGAGUAGUACUGGGAUGGGUGACCUCCUGGGAAGUCCUAGUGUUGCACCCU